rnacentral:rRNA from 1 species
AGAGUUUGAUCAUGGCUCAGGAUGAACGCUGGCGGCGUGCUUAACACAUGCAAGUCGAACGGUGAAGCCCAGCUUGCUGGGUGGAUCAGUGGCGAACGGGUGAGUAACACGUGAGCAACCUGCCCUGGACUCUGGGAUAAGCGCUGGAAACGGCGUCUAAUACUGGAUAUGAACCACGAAGGCAUCUUCAGUGGUUGGAAAGAUUUUUCGGUCUGGGAUGGGCUCGCGGCCUAUCAGCUUGUUGGUGAGGUAAUGGCUCACCAAGGCGUCGACGGGUAGCCGGCCUGAGAGGGUGACCGGCCACACUGGGACUGAGACACGGCCCAGACUCCUACGGGAGGCAGCAGUGGGGAAUAUUGCACAAUGGGCGGAAGCCUGAUGCAGCAACGCCGCGUGAGGGAUGACGGCCUUCGGGUUGUAAACCUCUUUUAGCAAGGAAGAAGCUUUUGUGACGGUACUUGCAGAAAAAGCGCCGGCUAACUACGUGCCAGCAGCCGCGGUAAUACGUAGGGCGCAAGCGUUGUCCGGAAUUAUUGGGCGUAAAGAGCUCGUAGGCGGUCUGUCGCGUCUGGUGUGAAAUCUCAUGGCUCAACUGUGAGCUUGCAUCGGGUACGGGCAGACUAGAGUGCUGUAGGGGAGACUGGAAUUCCUGGUGUAGCGGUGGAAUGCGCAGAUAUCAGGAGGAACACCGAUGGCGAAGGCAGGUCUCUGGGCAGUUACUGACGCUGAGGAGCGAAAGCAUGGGGAGCGAACAGGAUUAGAUACCCUGGUAGUCCAUGCCGUAAACGUUGGGCACUAGGUGUGGGGCCCAGUUCCACUGGUUCUGUGCCGUAGCUAACGCAUUAAGUGCCCCGCCUGGGGAGUACGGCCGCAAGGCUAAAACUCAAAGGAAUUGACGG